rnacentral:rRNA from 1 species
CUACGGGAGGCUGCAGUGGGGAAUAUUGGACAAUGGGCGAAAGCCUGAUCCAGCCAUGCCGCGUGUGUGAAGAAGGCCUUCGGGUUGUAAAGCACUUUCAGUGGGGAAGAAAGCCUUGGGGCUAAUACCCUCGAGGAAGGACAUCACCCACAGAAGAAGCACCGGCUAACUCCGUGCCAGCAGCCGCGGUAAUACGGAGGGUGCGAGCGUUAAUCGGAAUUACUGGGCGUAAAGCGCGCGUAGGCGGUCUGAUAAGCCGGUUGUGAAAGCCCCGGGCUCAACCUGGGAACGGCAUCCGGAACUGUCAGGCUAGAGUGCAGGAGAGGAAGGUAGAAUUCCCGGUGUAGCGGUGAAAUGCGUAGAGAUCGGGAGGAAUACCAGUGGCGAAGGCGGCCUUCUGGACUGACACUGACGCUGAGGUGCGAAAGCGUGGGUAGCAAACAGGAUUAGAUACCCGAGUAGUC